GGAGUUGCAGACGUGUUCUCUACCGCUUUGUCCAACGGCUGUAACCUGUGUGUGCAGUGAGGUGGGAAAGAAAGCAUGCUGAUGCCAUUGUCUGAUGCAUAAGUCAGCCCCUCGAUACUAAGGUGGGAAUUGUGAUUGUCCAGCAAGAGAAGGCACAGUGACUGCUUUGAACAUUUCACAUUCCU